rnacentral:rRNA from 1 species
GAUGAACGCUGGCGGCGUGCUUAAUACAUGCAAGUCGAGCGGAAAGACCAUGAUCUUGUGGGGUGGUCGAUUGGCGAACGGGUGUGUAAAACGUGAGUAACCCGCCCUUGUCUUUGUGAUAACUUCACGAGAAUGGGGCUCAUACAGCAUAGGAGCUCCUGCUGCACGGUGGGGGUUGGUAAGUUUCGGCGGUUGUGGAUGGUCUAGAGGCUGCUCCGCUUGAUGGUGUGGUAGUGGCUUACCAAGGCUUUGAAGGGUAGCCGGCCUGAGAGGGUGACCGGCCACAUUGGGACUGAGGGACGGCCCAGACGCGUACGGGAGGCAGCAGUGGGGAAUAUUGCACAAUGGGCGGAAGCCUGAUGCAGCAACGCUGCGUGCGGGAUGACGGCCUUCGGGGUGUAAACCGCUUUCGCCUUUGACGAAGCGGGAGCGACGGUAAUUGGUAAAGAAGCACCGGCUAACUACGUG